rnacentral:rRNA from 1 species
UACGGAGGGAGCUAGCGUUGUUCGGAAUUACUGGGCGUAAAGCGCGCGUAGGCGGCUUUGUAAGUUAGAGGUGAAAGCCCGGGGCUCAACCCCGGAACAGCCUUUAAGACUGCAUCGCUAGAAUCCGGGAGAGGUGAGUGGAAUUCCUAGUGUAGAGGUGAAAUUCGUAGAUAUUAGGAAGAACACCGGUGGCGAAGGCGGCCCACUGGAUCGGUACUGACGCUGAGGUGCGAAAGCGUGGGGAGCAAACAGG